UUGGGAAAGUAGAUAUUUCGAUUUAUUCUGUGGAAAUCCAAGAGUUUUGGGAUAAAAAUAUUUUCCUGAUUUCUUUCAAUAUUGUAUUGCGAGUUGGUUAUUUGAUGAAGCAAUAUAAUACCCAAAUUUGGGGAUCAUUGGAGUGUAUUGAAAGAGUAUCUUUCUCCAUUAGGCCACACAACAUCAAAGGCCUUUUUUUUUCCCGACUUUUUCUUCUUGAGUUUACGUUUGGAAUAUAACGUAAAAUAUAAGAGUGCUGUCGACAGAGAAUUCAAUUUACCUAAGAUCCAAGAACAUCAAGGAUACUGAACGAGCGCUGCAGAUUUUUGGUUUAUGUUCAAUUUUUGUCUUCACGAGUUUGGACUCACAGGAUUGAGAAUUGGUGACGUAGUUUUAAUAAUAGUUUCAAUCCUGCUGUUCAUCAAACUGGUAUGUACAGAUAAUUUCGCUUUCGAUUGCUGGUACCAAUCAAGAAUACCUUGUGACAUAGGAACUUUUCUAGUGAAGUUGAUUUUGGAGUUUUGACAUUAAUAAGUGAAUAUCUGAAUAUCUGAACCUAUAGA